rnacentral:misc_RNA from 1 species
GAUGAAGAACGCAGCGAAAUGCGAUAAGUAGUGUGAAUUGCAGAAUUCAGUGAAUCAUCGAAUCUUUGAACGCACAUUGCGCCCCUUGGUAUUCCAUGGGGCAUGCCUGUUCGAGCGUCAUUUGUACCUUCAAGCUUUGCUUGGUGUUGGGUGUUUGUCUCGCCUCCGCGUGUAGACUCGCCUCAAAACAAUUGGCAGCCGGCGUAUUGAUUUCGGAGCGCAGUACAUCUCGCGCUUUGCACUCACAACGACGACGUCCAAAAGUACAUUUUUACACUCUUGACCUCGGAUCAGGUAGGGAUACCCGCUGAACUUAAGCAUAUCAAUAAGCGGAAGA